ensembl:snoRNA U3 Small nucleolar RNA U3
AAGAUCAUACUUUCAGGGAUCAAGUCUAUAGUUUGUUACUAAGGAAGUUUCUCUGUACAUGUGCAGAGCUGCAGAAGAGCACCGGAACCCACGAGGAGAAGGCCAGCAUGAUGCUGAGCGGGAAGCUGGCUCAUGGCUUUGCUGCUACUGCCACAUGCCGCUGAUGGUCAUUCUCCUCUUCCUCUGGGAGUGGAAGACAGGGAGAAUGCAGUUGGAGUGGU